AACCUGCCCUUUGCACUGGGAUAGCCUCGGGAAACCGAGGUUAAUACCGGAUACUCCAUAUUUGUCGCAUGGCGAAUAUGGGAAAGCUCCGGCGGCAAAGGAUGGGCCCGCGGCCUGUUAGCUAGUUGGUGGGGUAGUGGCCUACCAAGGCAAUGAUGGGUAGCCGGGUUGAGAGACCGACCGGCCAGAUUGGGACUGAGACACGGCCCAGACUCCUACGGGAGGCAGCAGAA
rnacentral:rRNA from 1 species